GCGGCCUAUCAGCUUGUUGGUGAGGUAAUGGCUCACCAAGGCAACGACGGGUAGCCGGCCUGAGAGGGCGACCGGCCACACUGGGACUGAGACACGGCCCAGACUCCUACGGGAGGCAGCAGUGGGGAAUAUUGGGCAAUGGAGGAAACUCUGACCCAGCGACGCCGCGUGCGGGAUGAAGGCCUUCGGGUUGUAAACCGCUUUCAGUAGGGAAGAAGCGAAAGUGACGGUACCUACAAAAGAAGCACCGGCUAACUAUGUGCCAGCAGCCGCGGUAAUACAUAGGGUGCAAGCGUUGUCCGGAAUUAUUGGGCGUAAAGAGCUCGUAGGUCGUUUGUCGCGUCGAUUGUGAAAAUCUGAGGCUCAACCUCAGACCUGCAGUCGAUACGGGCAAACUAGAGUGUGGUAGGGGAGACUGGAAUUCCU
rnacentral:rRNA from 1 species